GGCUUGGUGGUGUAAUGGUAACACGCUCCGUGUACCUAUAUGCAAUGUUCAUAUAUCGUUCAAUGAAAAGUCUGGAGUUCGAUUCUCCGUCAAGCCA